rnacentral:rRNA from 1 species
UACGGAGGGUGCGAGCGUUGUCCGGAAUCACUGGGCGUAAAGGGCGCGUAGGCGGCAUGCCAAGCGUGUGGUGAAAGCCCGGGGCUCAACCCCGGGUCGGCCGUGCGGACUGGCAUGCUCGAGCACUGUAGGGGCGGGUGGAAUUCCGGGUGUAGCGGUGGAAUGCGUAGAGAUCCGGAAGAACACCGGUGGCGAAGGCGACAUCCUGGACCAACACUGACGCUGAGGAGCGAAAGCCAGGGGAGCAAACGGG